GGGUUAGAUUUAGGGUAAAACCGAUUAUAAAAUCUGUUGUUAUUCGUUUGUCAGACAACCACCGCAGCCGUCAGACAACCACCGCAGCCGUUAGACAUGGCUACUGCUUUUUCCUGCAACUUCAAUAAAAUCUGGCCUCCCGAUUUGGUUAAAUCAACGGAUGUUGAAGAACGAUCGUUGACUGCUCAUCGGAUUUCGGAAGACCCAUCUCGUUUCAGGUUUAGGAUGCUAAAACAGGCACCGACUUAUUCAUCUUUGAAGGUCAUGAUGCACCUGUUAGUUCUAUAUGCCGCAUAGUAAAGAUAACAUUAAGUAUAUCUUUUCAACGGCUAUCAAUGGAAAGAUCAAGGCAUGGUUACAUGCUGAUCGAGUUUCAAAAAUUAAUUAUGAAACCGAUGGUUAUGUCUGGACAAAAUGGCAUACAAUACUGAUGGGUCAUGUAACGCUUCACAUUUAUGUAUAAUCCAUAUUUAGACGAAAUGGCAUACAAUACCGAGGGGUCAUGUAACGCUUAGCAUUUCUGUAUAAUCCAUAUUUAGAAAGUUGUAUUCACAUUUAUAUUUAUAGAAACUUGUAUUUGUAUUUCA